AAAUACUGACAAGUUCAAUAUUUUCUUUAGCAAUACACACCAUUCAAUGAGUGUUUUAUAUUGCAUCAUCUCCAUCUUCACUACUAGAACCUUUAUUGUCGGCAAGGUUCGAAGGAUCACGACGAGAAUGAUUAGCAUAGGGGAAGGCUCACAAGAUCAGGGAAUUGGAAAAGCACCACUUACAAGAAGAUUGGCCAGCUAAUCUUGAAGUAGAUUAAAUUAUGCGUCGCUCUUUUCUAGCUGAACUUGAAGGGUACCAAAUUGUUCAUCUCUCUUUUGUUCUCUAGCCUUUGUCUCUUCAAGCUCUGCUGUCAGCUUUGCGAUCUUCUAUUCCAUGGACGAGAUAGUCGACCUAUCAAUUGCCUCGCCUUGAGAGGAACCCUAUACCUUGCAAUCCAUCCCUGUAGCGCCGAAAUGAUCUCUAGAAGUCGUACGAUAUCCCCUGUUUGGGAACACCAACAAUAUCCAACCACAUCCUCCGCUUCUUCGUCUAAAAGGGGCGGUCGCUCGCCUUAAUCAUUCGGUG
rnacentral:lncRNA from 1 species